GAAGCUGGAAUUGCUAGUAAUGGCAGGUCAGCAUACUGCCGUGAAUACGUUCCCGGGCCUUGUACACACCGCCCGUCACACCAUGAGAGUUGGGAAUACCCGAAGCCUGUGAGCUAACGUUAAGAGGCAGCAGUCGAAGGUAGAAUCAAUGAUUGGGGUGAAGUCGUAACAAGGUAUC
rnacentral:rRNA from 1 species